GAGCGCAUGCGCGGCGCGCGGGGCACGCCGGGAACUGUAGUGCCCGGCCCGGAGGGAGGCGGGGCGGGAAGGGGAGCGCGCCACGAGAGAGAGAGCGCGCGCGCGCGCGGAGGGGGCGGGCGGGAGCCGGACCACGCGCUCGGUGCCGCCGCCGUCGGGGCUCCGCGCUCCGUUCCUCCGCGCUCAGGCAAGGGAGGGGGUGGCGGUAGCGAGGUACUGCCACGCCACGAAGAGAACGGCUUUGCUGCGGGAGCGACCCUCUGCCGAUGGGCCUUGAGUUGUGCAAAAGUGCUUACAGUGCAGGUAGAGCUCAGCACCUACUGCAGUAUAAGCACUUCUGGCAUGACCGUGGCGAUGCGGCGCUGGAGCACGACGGGAGCGGUGCGGUGCUGCCCUACUCGUGGUCCUUGUGUUAAGGUGCAUCUAGUGCAGUUAGUGACGUAGCGUAGAAUCUACUGCCCUAAAUGCUCCUUCUGGCACAAGCUGCUGCCUGCACGCCAUCCCUCUGCUCAUUGACCACCGUGUCACAGCGUUGCAUUUUGUUUCGUUGAAGGCAAUUGCUCAGGAAGCAGCUGUGUCCUAGCAGUAUCAAAGUGCUCAUAGUGCAGGUAGCUUGGCAUUGGACCUACUGUAAUGUGGGCACUUACAGUACUGUUAGAUAAAGUGCGUCCCGGCUCGGGGCAGCUUCUGGAGAAGAUGCCUUCCGGAGAGGUGCUGCUCACAGUCAGUUUUGCAGGUUUGCAUCCCAGCUUGCUAAAAUUGCUGUGCAAAUCCAUGCAAAACUGACUGUGGUGGUGGUGAAUAGCGGGGUUAGAAGCUUACUUCCCCUCUUGCUGUGAAGAUCCGAAGAUGCCUUGCGCUGGUUCCUCCGUGGGUGGGGAUUUGUUGCAUUACUUGUAGCUGUGUGUAGAGUAUUGCACUUGUCCCGGCCUGUGGAGGAAAGGAGGACUGGUCUUCAGGCUGCUCUGCUUGGUGGUUGUCAGCACGGUAAGCUUUGUUUUGCUGUUGUCGGGUGGAUCACGAUGCAAUUUUGAUUAGUUUAGUAGGAGAAAAAUUGCACGGUAUCCAUCUGUAAACCGCAAGACCUUCAUCCGCUGACACAGCUUUGUCAGUGGGCAGCUCUCGUGGUGUCGUGGCCGACCCAAAGGGGUGGGAAGGAAGAAAGCUCCAGAUCCUGGGGUUUGUCUGCCCGGAUCCUGAGGGUUGUCUGCUAUUUCAAAAGGGGAAAGCCACCUGGGACAGCUGCAGGCAUGCAGGGAAGCCCAUCGGGGAGUGCUUCUGUGAUAACAUGGAAUAACGUGGUGGACUUAAGCAAUAAAGAGAGUGUAAAAUAAA